GCUGCGAUGGUUAGCUGGUCUGAGAGGAUGAUCAGCCACACUGGAACUGAAACACGGUCCAGACUCCUACGGGAGGCAGCAGUGAGGAAUUUUGCGCAAUGGGGGAAACCCUGACGCAGCAACGCCGCGUGAGUGAAGAAGGCUUUCGGGUCGUAAAGCUCUGUCAAGUGGGAAAAAGAUUUCAAGGUCAAUAGCCUUGGAAAUUGAUGGUACCACUGGAGGAAGCACCGGCUAACUCCGUGCCAGCAGCCGCGGUAAUACGGAGGGUGCAAGCGUUGAUCGGAAUUAUUGGGCGUAAAGAGCGUGUAGGCGGUAUGGUAAGUCAGAUGUGAAAGCCCUGGGCUCAACCCAGGAAGUGCAUUUGAUACUGCCAUACUUGAGUAUGGGAGAGGAGAGUGGAAUUCCCAGUGUAGAGGUGAAAUUCGUAGAUAUUGGGAGGAACAUCCGUGGCGAAGGCGACUCUCUGGACCAAUACUGACGCUGAGACGCGAAAGCGUGGGGAGCAAACAGGAUUAGAUACCCUGGUAGUCCACGCCGUAAACGAUGAGAACUAGGUGUAGCGGGUAUUGACCCCUGCUGUGCCGAAGUUAACGCAUUAAGUUCUCCGCCUGGGGAGUACGGCCGCAAGGCUAAAACUCAAAGGAAUUGACGGGGACCCGCACAAGCGGUGGAGCAUGUGGUUUAAUUCGACGCAACGCGAAGAACCUUACCUGGAUUUGACAUCCUCUGACAACCUUGGAAACAAGGCCUUUCCGACUUGUCGGAACAGAGUGACAGGUGCUGCAUGGCUGUCGUCAGCUCGUGUCGUGAGAUGUUGGGUUAAGUCCCGCAACGAGCGCAACCCUUGUUUUUAGUUGCCACUAUUAAGUUAGGCACUCUAAAGAUACUGCCUCGGUUAACGGGGAGGAAGGUGGGGAUGACGUCAAGUCCUCAUGGCCUUAUAUCCAGGGCUACACACGUGCUACAAUGGACUGUACAAAGGGUCGCGACAUCGCGAGGUGAAGCUAAUCUCAAAAAACAGUUCUCAGUUCGGAUUGGAGUCUGCAACUCGACUCCAUGAAGUUGGAAUCGCUAGUAAUCGUGGAUCAGCAUGCCACGGUGAAUACGUUCCCGGGUCUUGUACACACCGCCCGUCACACCACGAAAGUCGGCUGUACCAGAAGUUGCUGGGCUAACCUCUUCGGAGGAGGCAGGUACCUAAGGUACGGUCGGUAAUUGGGGUGAAGUCGUAACAAGGUAGCCGUAGGGGUUCCUGUGGCUG
rnacentral:rRNA from 1 species